rnacentral:tRNA from 1 species
GCGCCCGUAGCUCAACGGAUAGAGCAUCUGACUACGGAUCAGAAGGUUAGGAGUUCGAGUCUCUUCGGGCGCG